rnacentral:rRNA from 1 species
UGGGGAAUUUUGGACAAUGGGCGCAAGCCUGAUCCAGCCAUGCCGCGUGCGGGAAGAAGGCCUUCGGGUUGUAAACCGCUUUCAGCCGGAAAGAAAUCGCUAUCUCUAAUACGGGUAGUGGAUGACGGUACCGGAAGAAGAAGCACCGGCUAACUACGUGCCAGCAGCCGCGGUAAUACGUAGGGUGCGAGCGUUAAUCGGAAUUACUGGGCGUAAAGCGUGCGCAGGCGGUUUCUUAAGCCAGACGUGA